UAUAAAAAAAAAACAGGCAGCAGGCUGGGCUGGGCCUGCAGACUAAAGUUUGCCAACCCGGAAGGAAAGCAAGAGAGUGACAUAAUGAGGACUGGGUUUCAGAAUGGUGGAUCGCAAGUAAGUCAGCCAAAGAGACUGGUGAGCAAGCGACCUGAGAGAGAGAAUAAACGACGAGGGGUGACUGGAUGAACACACUGCACUGCAUCCGUAUGAUGGAACAGAAUGGGACAAACGAGCCACACACGACCACGUGGAUUAAUCCCAAAAGCAUAUGUUGAAUGAAGGAAUCGAGUCUCAAAAGGUCAUGUCUUUUGAGGAGAAAAGAUCUGAAAAGGAAUAUCUGGCCACAAUUUGAAAUAAAAAAAUUACCUACUCUGGAUCUGGAUGGUGGCGCUGCAGGGUGGGCAGGCCUCUGCAAGGGAUGGGCUGAGGUGGAAUCAUCAUCGCCAAGGACCAAGAGAGGGUGAGCAGAAUCCUCUGGGUGGAAAGGGGGAGAGGGCUUGGUGUCAGCCGUGCGCCUAGGGAGGAGCACAGUAGCUUUGGAGUCAGACAGACCCUGGUUCAAAUUCUGCCUCUGCCAUGUCCUACAACGAGAACUUACACAGUCACUUAAGCUCUCUGAGCCUCAGUUUUCUGAUCUGUAUCAUGGGGGCAGUAACAGCACUCAUCUCAUAGAUUCUAUUUUUGUGACCAUUAAGUGGACGAUAAAGUUCCCAUCUAUGGCUGGCACAUCAUUGACAGUCAAUGAAUAGUAGAUAAUGAUAAUAAUAACACUAACACUAACUGCCAGGCUCUUCGUCUUAUAUAUUAAAAAAUAACACAAAAAUAAUUUCAAAGUGAACCACUCUGUUACAGGGAUCAGAAAAAGUGCUCACAUCUACACCAUCAGUUUAAGACUCUUUCCCAGUGGACCACCAAACCCUGCUUAGACGGCUGGCUUGGUCCGUAUGAGCACAGUGAAAGCAAGGGCAGUUCAUUUGUUCAU